UCCACCAGUACUGAGAACAGCCAUACCUACCUAAAAAAAAACAGCUAGUAUUCAUUUGGAUUUACUACUAUACUUCGACGAUUGAAAAUCAUGAAUGUGUUGAACGAUAUCGUGAAAAUUGUGAAUCAAAUUCGUGGCAAAGAGAAUAUUUUUGGUUACAAAUCUACAACGGCGAAUCAGUUCUAUUUAGUGUACUGUUUCUUGGGAGAAAUCUAUUUAAGCCCUAAGUUUCACAAGCACACAAAAUUAUUUUGGUUUUCAUGGCAGUUAUUUGGUAUUUUAAUUGGUAUUUUUCAACUAAUAUCUUAUUUAUUGUGCGGUGAUAAGAAAGAUGUUGGAGCUCUGUUAUACACUGUAUUUACAUUCCUGAUUGUUUUCUCAGUAUACUUACAUUAUAGUACCAUAUAUCUCAGUGAUUCGGUACCGCAAAAAUAUACACGAAGUGAUCCAAAUGGCAGAUCGUUUAAUUAUGAAGAGAAAAUCAUCUAUCCAUAAACCAAGCAAAGAAUUAAAUUUGAAGAAAUUGCUCUACUAUCUUUCUGUAUUCUAUAUAUUUACUGGAUUGAUAUUUGGUUUAAUAUGUAAUUUGAACGUAGUAUUUUUUUAUGAAAAGGAAAAAGUUCAAAAUUAUAGUUACUACCUCGUCUAUGUGCCAAAACUUGAACUAUACGGAUCUUUGCCAUUUUUUCUCAUCUUCAACGCCAUAGUAGGCAUAGCUGCGAUUUCUGUUUUCACAUGUUCUCUCAUGAUAUCAUUCAUAUUUAUAUUUUAUACAGUCAUAUUUCACAAUGAAAUACUACAGAUUGUCGCCGACUUGAACUUGAUGAGCUCGAAUACUUUGACAAUGGAAACCUACAAACACAUCGAAUCAGAAUUCAAAAACACCAUUAUUAAAUGUGCAAAGAACUACCAAAACGCCAUCAAAAUGGUUGAAUGUUUUCGAGGAUUUUACGAAACGUUAGCAGCCCUUGUAUUACCAGGUGCACUUUACCUUGAGAUCACACACGCCUUUCUUUUCGUUUCACCCAGCAUCUCAAGCAUAGUAAGACUGCGGGAACUAUCUAUUUUUCUCACAUCAAUUCAAGUAGUGUACGCGUUAUGUUGGACAGGAGAAGUACUGAAUGAAUCGGCGGAGGCAUUAUCCUUUGCUGUAUAUUCUACACCUUGGUAUUGGUCCACAUCACUUCGCAAAGAUGUUUACAUACUCCUGUGUCAAACUCAAAGACCAAUUACUUCAACAACACUGGGAGCAUAUCCGCUUUGCUUGGCAACUUUUCUACGUUUCAUGAAUGUCAUACAAUCGUCCGUCAAUGUUUUACGAACGAUUAGCUCUGAAUAAUAAGAUAAAGUAAUCGUGGAUUUAGUUCGUUCUACACAUACCUAGGUUGUUAUAAAAAGUAUUAUACAUAGGUCAAUUAUUGGUUGUAAAAUGUGAAUUUUAUAAUUAACUUAUAUCGAACAAUAUGCACACUCUAGGAACACAUUAAUUUAAUUUAGACUAGUAUUGAAAGUGGUCGAACGAGCACUUUCUAAUUUAAUAUUGGUAAUCAAAUAAUCUGAAUAUUUUAUGCAUCUGCACAUUUUCGAGUUUCACAAACGUCACUUGGGCCUAUUUAAGUAAUAUGCAGAAGGAGCGCUAGGGUGCAAUUUUAUGUUUAGGUAAGCAUUAUGUAUUGUAUAGCAUCAUUAGGUAUGAGUAUAAUAAGUACAUACAUAUGUAGUUGAAUCGGUGAGAACAGAAAGGGGCUAAGUCCCUUUUCGCAGUUUUCAGGAAUAACAAAAAACUGAUUUAUUCGAAAAUCUAAAAUUUUUGGUAAACAUGCUUCAGGUCAUUGAAAGAGAACCCCAAGACACAAUUUUUAGCACAGUUUCGAAAAAAAAAAUAUUCACGUGCGCCGGCGCUGUUGCUGCCUAAACAAAUGGGACUUAGACCGUUUCUGCACUCAAUCGCCAAAAUUUCUCUUUAAGUUGCUCGGGCACGAAUGGGGCUUGAUUCUACAUCUAAGUACAACACUUAGACUGCUAUCUUGUUUAAAUUGACCAAAAAUCCCUCGAGGUGUAAAACUUUUUGCCAAGUUGUUAAUUUUUGCGUAUUUUUUCAGUACAGAGAUGAACUUGAAUUUCAAAAAAUGGUCUUCUCGAAAAUGUUUAUUUUUCAAGGAAUUCAAAAAAUUUAACAAAAAAGUCAUCACUGCAGAUCCGCCCUUUUUAUGCGCCCAAAUACCACUUUCCCGACAGUUUUGCGGAAAUCUGACAUCACCAGUCGAUCCGUCCUACUUUGAAACCCCUAUAUCCGUGAACAUUUUUUUCCAAAAAUGUGACUUGGUCCCUUUCUGUUCUCACUGAUUCAUUUAUGGACAGAUUUUCUUGUAAUUUUGAUAGGAACGCGUGAAAUUACGCCUAGACAAAUCUUUGCUAUGAAAAGCUCAACUUGAUUGUUCCAAAAAGCUACAAUCCACAAAAAAAUCUUUGGGAAAGAAUUCUAACCCCCUGCCCUCCCUCUAAGGAAAGUUAUUACAACUAUGAAAAUAGAGGUUGGAAUUGAAAAAUUAUUUUAAAUCUAGGUCGCUCCGCGACCUCAACGCCCUGCUCGCGCACUCGCUUCGCUCGUGCUGCUCGCCCUGGCCCUCGCUCCGCUCAGGCUUCUCACCCCUUCGGGGCUCGCUUUUUUGACAACUCAACUCAUGCCCCUGCUCCUAUAUGCAAAUCAGUUAAAAUGUGUCAAUAGCAAAUUCUACUCUGGUUCUUAAGUACAAUUUUUUAAAAAUCAAAUUUUUCAAGAAAAAAAUUCUAGUUUGAACAAUAUUUUUAGGUAUGAAUUUCUAAAAUGAAUUAACGACAUUUUUCCCCCUCAAAAAACGUACGUCUAUAUCCCAAGUAUAUAGAAACCCUACCAGUGGUGGCGUAGCUAAGAGAGGGACGUGACUUGAGCCAUUACCCCCCCUCCCGCGUGUGAAAAUUAGAAAUAUUGCAUGCAAUAAUGAACCCUUUUCUUGUUUUUUGGGUACAUUUCUUUCAAAAAAUUUCCGCUGUUACUUCACUUGAGCAGUAAUUGCACCUUCAUUUCCAUUAAAUUUUUAUACAUUACGAAGGGUUUUCAUAAAAUUACCUCCAAUUUCGAUUUUUCAUGCCUAAAAAUCUGUUUUUGCUCUCCCCCCCCCCAUUGAGGAAAUUCUGGCUACACUGUAUUGAACACUUCGCCUAUCUUUACUUUUGACUUUUUCACAAACAAUGUUCUACUAAACAUUUCAAUUUGUGUUGUUAGAAUAAAAUUCCAACCCCAAGUGCAGAACCUCCUCUCCUCAUUAUUUUAACAGACACUACAUUCCAGUUAAAAAAAAUUCUACUCUCCGCAGCCUCAACCCUCGGAUCACGCCUUGGUAUUGGUAAACAUGAUGCAUUAUAUUUUACGGACCAUCACAGCUCGCGCCCCGCAAACAAAUGAAAAUAUUUCUUAUAAAAAUUCAAACGUCUUAAUAAGGAACGUUAAAAAAAAAAGGUUGAAAUCAGUUCAAUAGAAAAGGCCAAGCUGGCGAACUAUUUCAAGGUUUUUUUUCCCUCAAGAAAUUGAAGGAACAUUUUUGUUCCUUACAUAUACAACCCUGAAAUGAAACCAGUUAGUGUAGUAGCUCCGCCCACAACGAAGCAAUCGUAACAACGCGUUCAGUUGAAAUGCUAUUUUUAUAUCGUUUUUUUGACUUUUUGGACCUUUAAUUUCAAAAUUUUGUUUUCAAAAUAUUAUUUGACAUAUCUACAGGGAAAAAGGAAUCGAUUAAAAAAAAAAUCACGAAAAAAGGUUCAUUGGGAGAGGCUGGGCGAUUGGAAGUAUGUUUUUUUCCAAAGAUCUUUUAAUAUAGAUAGAUUAAUAAUAACAUGCAGUAUUAAAAUUUAUUGAUAUACCUAAAUAGAGUAAAUCCCCGCCAUUCAAUACAUUACUCAAUAAUUUUAAGAAUGAAUGUACAUUUUGAAAAUGUGGUUCAGUUAAAAAAACAAUUUGUAAAAAUGAUGCAUUAACUGUCAAUAGAGAUAAGAAAUAAAAAAUUAUUGAAAAAAAUAAUGAUAAUUAAAGUAACAAAAUUUAAUGAUAUAUCUAGAUAGAGUAAAU